rnacentral:rRNA from 1 species
GACGAACCGUGCGAACGUUGUUCGGAAUCACUGGGCUUAAAGGGCGCGUAGGCGGGCUGUCAAGUCCGGGGUGAAAUCUUUCGGCUCAACCGGAAAAGUGCCUUGGAUACUGAUGGUCUGGAGGGAGGUAGGGGUAUGUGGAACUUCCGGUGGAGCGGUGAAAUGCGUUGAUAUCGGAAGGAACGCCGGUGGCGAAAGCGACGUACUGGACCUCUUCUGACGCUGAGGCGCGAAAGCUAGGGGAGCGAACGGG